AGGACGAACGCUGGCGGCGUGCUUAACACAUGCAAGUCGAGCGGUAAGGCCCUUUCGGGGGUACACGAGCGGCGAACGGGUGAGUAACACGUGAGCAAUUCUGCCCUUCACUUCGGGAUAAGCCUCGGAAACGGGGUCUAAUACCGGAUAUGACUGCGCCAUGCAUGUGGUGUGGUGGAAAGUUUCUGGCGGUGAGGGAUGAGCUCGCGGCCUAUCAGCUUGUUGGUGGGGUAAUGGCCCACCAAGGCUUCGACGGGUAGCCGGCCUGAGAGGGUGACCGGCACACUGGGACUGA
rnacentral:rRNA from 1 species